CGGGUCUCUCGGAGCACAAGCAAGAUGCUGUCACCGAGAGUCCCCCUCCCCGGGAUGGAGACUGCGCUUGCCUUGCCGCCACGGAUGAGCAAAGAUUCCUUCUGCUGAGAAGACAGGAGAUGAUACAAAGCCAACUACAGUCUCCACAAUUCAAGCUCUUUUCCAACAUCUUCCAACACCAACACCUUGGCAGCUGCUGCGGCAAAGUCUGUCUUUAAGCACAGUAUCAGUUACUACAUCUACUGCUCUCUGCAGUUACAUCUUUCUUCACUUUUGCCAUGAGUUCAUCACAGGGAUAUUGACUGCUCAGCUGCUUGGCUAAUGCAUACACAUGAGUUCCUGGGCUUGCAGUGUGGCUGUGCCAGAAAGGGUGAGAGAGCACUAGAACAGGCUGCCCAGAGAGGUUGUGGAGUCUUCUUCUUUGGAGACAUU